UACGGAGGGUGCAAGCGUUAUCCGGAUUCACUGGGUUUAAAGGGUGCGUAGGUGGACUGGUAAGUCAGAGGUGAAAUCUCCGGGCUCAACUCGGAAACUGCCUUUGAUACUAUUAGUCUUGAAUAUUGUGGAGGUUAGCGGAAUAUGUCAUGUAGCGGUGAAAUGCUUAGAUAUGACAUAGAACACCAAUUGCGAAGGCAGCUGGCUACACAUAUAUUGACACUGAGGCACGAAAGCGUGGGGAUCAAACAGG
rnacentral:rRNA from 1 species